GCCCGCCCCCGGCCGCGCCACCGCCCCUUCCUGUCAUGGCCGCUGGCGGGCGGCGGGAGCGCGGCGUGGCGGCGGGGGCCGGCGCCCCCCGCAGCUGAGGGCCCGGCCGGGCGGCGUGGAGCGGAGCGGGGAGGUUCCCCCAGCGCGGAGCCGGCGGCGGGAGAUAACGCUGAAGUACCUGCUUCCAAGUUUUCCACCACUCUCCUCCUUUAGCUUCCCCUUGGGGUCAGCCGGCCGUCAGUAUGCCUUCUACCGAGAACACCUCAAAACUUUUACUGGUCCUCGUUUCACUGCUGCUGGUGCUGCCAGUAGCUGAAGCCCUGGAUGUAGGAGAUACCAUUGCCUUCCUACUAGGCCUUGCCGUCAGUGUCAUUGGAUUCUGUGCCUGCCUUGGCUUGUACGCAAGGAAAAGGAAUGGGCAGCAGUGAUUUCAAGAAAGUGCUCAGAUGAAGUGAAAUUCCAAAUAUGGCUUGGGGUUGAGAUCUGGGGUGUGAGACUGAGCUUUGGUUCUGGAUGACUUUCAGAAACCAUGUAGUAGAUAUUUCUGCAAACCCCUCUUUCUGUGCAAGGCAGCAGAAUCAAGACUGUACACAGUAAAAGGGAUUUGCAGGAUCUGUCUUUGUGAUAGUAAGAUGGUUUUAUAUUGCUUGUGAUUAAAUACUGUCUUAGAGAAGGGCAAGAACUUUCUGAAUGGGGAAGGAAAACCACAGUGGUUCACAGUAAAUGUUUAUAAAUGGAACAUGUGGGAGACCAUCAACAAGUUCCUCAAUUUUGGUUUCAAGGGUUAAUCAGGAGGAAGCAGCUGUUAAUCUUCCAGUCAGGACAACAGAGCUUUGGAAGUACUCCUAACUAGCUAGCUAGCGAGCAGUCUGCUUUGACUUGUGUGCACAUGCUCACAUUCUUCAUAAUGACAGUUAACAGGUCACUUCUGUCACAGGCAGGGAUGGGACUUCAGAGAACUGAGAAAACAUGAAAACCUUUUUUUUUUUUAAAUUUUUUUACUUAUUUUUAUUUUAGAAUGUGCCUUUCCUGUAGCCUGUGUUCUGGUUACCAAGUAGAUACACUUAAGAAUGGAACCGGUAUUUUUUUUUAAUGUGUAUUUCACAGAAAAGUAUGUGUAAGGCUACAUAAAUUAGAUUAGGGAUAUGGGCUUUGUCUCUAUUUUUUUGUACUCAGCUUUCCUUUAGGCACACCAGUUUUAAGGCUUGUUUCAUUUGGUGUUUGUAAUUUUUUUCCCCAAAACAGAAGUUACCUAUUUUAAAGAGGAAUUAUGUGUACUAUUUCUGCACUUAUUUUUAGAAUUAGACUAUUAGAAUUAUAAUGAGACAGUUGUGCACAUAUUUCUUUUGGAAAUGUUGUGUUAAAAUCCUGGUUUUAGUCAACAAGUCCAUUGUUCUCAAGUGUCUUCCUCAUGACAAACUUAUGCUGCUAGCUAAGUGUUUAGGCUUCCUACCUGACUGAUGCAUAUAUGUUCCACAAAAGAUUAGGACCAAAACCAAAGUAAAAAAUCCUGAUGCAAAAUGGGUGAUGUAAAUUGUCUUACUCUGUUCAUGCUCAGUCGGAUUAUAUGGUGUAUGGUGUAUGGUUGGAAGACUACUCAGUAGCAUAUCCAGGAGCUGUUUCUUUAAGUACCAAAGGUGAAAUGGCACAGCCAAGAAUGUCUACCACAAGUCCCUCUGGUUUGUUAGGAUGUUCUAGCUUCUGCUUCAGCACAGUCUGUAACAGGAGCAGAAUAAGGAGCACAGGAAGGUGAGCUCUCCGCAGUUCACAGAGUUUCCUUCUGAUUUUGUGCUGUGGACACUGCCACUUUUGCUGGAAAUCUUGGCUUUUAUCUUUCGGAGCUGGGGAAAAAGGUUAAACGUGAUGCAGAGCUGCAUAUUUUGAUUCUGUUCCUCCCUCUAUGUCUCUGUUCAAUAGAGCACAAAGCACAAUGGCUAGAGGAGUUGUCAGGUUUAUAAGUAAUUGGGUGGGCAGAUCAUGUAAUCCAAAUCAUAAGAUUUCUGUAUGCCAUUUAUGGCUGGUUUGACUUUGCUUUCCAACCCCUGAGGAGACAGAAGUCCCGGUGAUUUCAGUCUAGCAAUUUAUGCCCCUCUCAUGGUUGAUAGAGAGAGGAAGGUAAACUGAAAGCUUCUGAAAUUGCGUGGGGUUAAAACUGCAGGACUCCACCCAACAAGCCACAAGAAUGUAGGUUUCUGCUCUCAAGUUACAAGACUAAUAAUGGUCACAAAGUUACUCUGAUGAGAUUGAAGUUUUGCCAGGUAGCUGUUCUUGAAUCCUUUUUGUGGCUUCCAAAGGGCAGAAAGGGACAGAGUGCACAAAGACUAUCUACAAAUGAAAUUUACAGCCCUAAGAGGAGCUUCAGACAGUAGUGUCACUUUUGAAAGCUGCCUAAGCAGCAGUAGAUGAUCCUGAAUCUGAAUUUUCAACUGGGUGGAUGCAAGCACACAUAAAGCGUGAUCUUCCAUGUGCCAGCUUGGCUGAACUAUUAACCCUGGGAAAAACAAACAAACAAAAACCAACCAAACAACAACCCACAAAAUCACAACUCCAUUAACUUAAUAUUUUCCAAAGUUAGAGAAUUUUUCAGAAGAAUAUUAAUACUGCUCUCUCAAUAGAAUAAAUUUUAUCGCUAGCACCUUUUAGCAGACUCCUUUAUCUUUACUUUGGAAAAGAUCCCUGGCAAUAGUUGCAUUGCAGGAGAACUAAAUUUUAGCAGAGUAAUUAGCGUCAGGCGACAGGGAUAUGAGGAACUGUGUUCUUUGCCCGAAGCUCUGUGCUCUGUUGAAAGGUGUUUACACAGUGUAAUGGCGUUGUUUCCUGGGUUCUGACAGAAGCUUUAUUAUUAAAGACUUGCAUUUGUUAAUGGCUUGAGUGUAAAAUCAGAUACCCGUUUUUCGUUUGUCUGAAUAAACUUUCAUGUCUGAUUUGUCAUCA